GAUUUUUCAUCUUGAAAAUGUGAGUCUUAAUGUUAAAAUUAUAACUAAAACUGUCUGCAAGCCCAGAUUCAUUAAUAUUAGAAAUGACUGGUAGAAUCUAAUGUCAGGAACUAAUGGCUCCAUAAUAUAAGAAUAUAUUCUAAUUAAUAGUAAAGUCCACAGCCUUUAUGCAUUCAGCUCUUUAAUGGGUGCCACCCAGGAACAAUAGGGGGAAUGAGCGAAAACCUCUUUCAACAAAAUAGGACUUCUCCAAUCUAAACCUGCUUUCUUUAACAGGGCUAAGCUAUCUUUAUGUGUACUGUAAAGAGAAUCCCAGGCUGGUUGUCUUCAUCACCCAAGGACCUACGCAUUUUUCCAAUGACUAUCUUCAGGGUACAUCACAGCCUCCUUGCACUUCUAACACUGGACAGCACUUCUAACACUGGAUAGCACUGCAAUUGGAGGUCAUUUUAAACAGCAAAAUCACCAAGAAAAAUCACAAAAAUGUGAAUAAUGUGUUACUAAACAGACCCCAAAAAGGACACUUCCUUAUAUUAUAAGAGCUGAAACAAGAAGGCAGAGCAUAUUCUUGUUGGACCCCAGCUGAAAACGAGCAGGGCAGUUGACUCAAAUUUCUGACUGCUCUGCCUCAGUCCACAAAUGAUCACUGAAGCUCUGGGAACGCUGAUUUUGAGCUACAAAUACAUUUUAGUGAAUAGGCAAAUUCACAAAUAUGGAAUCCUUGAAUAAUGAGGACUAGCUGGAUAUGCAUUUAGUUCAUAUAUUUAUGCAUUCAUAUCUUUUUCUGAACCAUUUGAGGGUAAAUUGGAGACAUUGUACCUAUUUACUCCAAUUUUUACUUUUUUUAUUUCAGUAGAUUUUGGGGGAACAGGUAGUGUUUGGCUACAUGAGUAAGUUCUUUAGCGGUGAAUUCUGACUGGUGUACACUGUACCCAAUGUGUAGUCUUUUAUCCCUUGCCACCCCUAACCCUUUUCCCUGCGUCCCCAAAGUCCAGUGUAUCAUUCUUAUGCCUUUGCAUCCUCAUAGCUUAACUCCCACAUAUGAGUGAGAACAUAUGGAUGUUUGGUUUUCCACUUCUGAGUUACUUCACUUAGAAUAAUCUCCAAUUUCAUCUAGGUUGCUGUGAAUACCAUUAUUUCAUUCCCUUUAAUGGCUGAGUAGUAUUCCAUGUAUUUAUAUUCAUACCACAUUUAUAUAUAUACACACACACACACACACACACCAUGGAAUACUACUCAGCCAUAUAUACCAUAUAUAUAGUAUGGAAUACUACUAAGCCAUACUACAUUAUAUAUAUAUACACACACGCAUAUAUAUAUGUACACAUAUAUACACAUACAUAUAUGUGUAC
rnacentral:lncRNA from 1 species